AAGACUAUACUUUCAGGAAUCAUUUCUAUAGUUCGUUACUAGAGAAGUCUCUCUGAACGUGUAGAGCACCUUGUGAAACCACAAGGAGGAGGCGCAGCGUUCUCUCCUGAGCGUGCAGCCGGCUCUUGGUGUUGCUUUAGUGCGAUUGCCAUUUGCCAUUGAUGAUCGUUCUUCUCUCCCUUUGGGAGAGUAAGAAGGAGAGGAAAAAAAAAAGAUUUUGUGA
ensembl:snoRNA U3 Small nucleolar RNA U3